rnacentral:tRNA from 1 species
UGGAGAAUGGUGGAAUUGGUAGACACACCGUACUAUGGAGCGGCGAAGGUAGCGCAACCUUCUUUGUAGGUUCAAGUCCUACUUCUCCAGCCA